rnacentral:misc_RNA from 1 species
AAGUCGUAACAAGGUUUCCGUAGGUGAACCUGCGGAAGGAUCAUUAUUGAAUGAACUUAGAGUUGGUUGUCGCUGGCUGUCUUUGGCAGCAUGUGCACGCCUUCUCUUUUCAUCCACACACCCCUGUGCACUUGUGAGACUGGAGGCCGUAAAAAGCCUUCAGUCUGCUAAAUUCAUAUACAAACUCAUUUAAUUGAACUGAAUGUACUUGAUGUAACGCAUCAUUAAACUAAGUUUCAACAACGGAUCUCUUGGCUCUC